rnacentral:rRNA from 1 species
GACGAACGCUGGCGGCGUGCUUAACACAUGCAAGUCGAACGGAAAGGCCCCUUUGGGGGUACUCGAGUGGCGAACGGGUGGGUAACACGUGAGUAACCUGCCCUUGACUUCCGGUGAACUUCCUUAAACUGGGGGUAAUAACUGAUAGGAAUCCGUGCCGCAUGGUUGGGGGUGGAAAGCUUCGGCGGGUGGGGGUGGACUGGCGGGCUAUCAGAUUGUUGGUGGGGGAGUGGGUUGCCAAGGCUUUGACGGGUAGCCGGCCUGGGAGGGCGACCGGCCACAUUGGGGCUGAGGUGAGGCCCAAGCUCCGAAGGGGGGGAGAAGUGGGGAAGAUUGAACAAUGGGCGGAAGCCUGGUGCAGAAACGCCGCGGGGCGGAUGACGGGCUUCGGGUUGUAAAACGCUUUCCGCAGGAGCGAAGCUGGUGGUGACGGUACCUGGAGAAGAAGCACCGGCUAACUACGUG